UACGUAGGGUGCAAGCGUUAAUCGGAAUUACUGGGCGUAAAGCGUGCGCAGGCGGUUGUGCAAGACCGAUGUGAAAUCCCCGGGCUUAACCUGGGAACUGCAUUUGUGACUGCACGGCUAGAGUGUGUCAGAGGGGGGUAGAAUUCCACGUGUAGCAGUGAAAUGCGUAGAUAUGCGGAGGAACACCGAUGGCGAAGGCAAUCCCCUGGGCCGGAACUGACGCUGAGGAGCGAAAGCGUGGGGGAGCAAACAGG
rnacentral:rRNA from 1 species